AUCUGGGCGGCGGAAUUCAAGACGGCUGGCGGGUCUCGCGCUCGUUCGGCCGUUUGAUAUUUCCGUCGCCGUGUCAGACGUCGCGACCUGUUUGUCGUCGGUCCUUGCUCGGAGGAAUUGCGAUCGAGUUCGUUGCGGGUGCGUUUCGGCGUGCUUCGCGGCGAAGACGCGACUCUCUGGCCGACGACGGACAGUAAGCAACGGUGUCUGGCGCCGUGUCUCGCACUCGGCGUCGGUGCCGGUCAGCGACGAUUUCUUCGGGCCUCUUUCCGACCCGUCUUGAAACACGGACCAAGGAGUCUAACAUGCGCGCGAGUCGCGGGGUUUCGAGCGUACCACGGUGCGCUCGUCACUUCCGAAACCCGUACGUUGAAGGCGUAAUGAAAGUGAAUAGGGAAGAUGGCGUUCCGAGACCACGUACCGUGAUCGAGUAUCGCGGCCGGACGUCCGCACUCCCGGGGCGUCUCAAUGGUUCGCCACGGAUGCGGACGAUCGUCUUUCGGGGCGGUCGUCGGUCUGUGGCGGUCCGA
rnacentral:rRNA from 1 species